CCUAGGGAUACAUCCACUGGUCACUCUUCAGAUGGUUACUAGAGGUGCUUCCUGGUGCAGUUCUGUACAGUGUGCAUGUAUGUUGGUGUGUGUCUGUGUAUCUGUAUGUGUGUCAGUGUACAGUGUCACACACAUUCUCCAUACAAAAACAUGCUUACAUUCAAAACACAAACACUGCUCAGUGCUAAAUGCAACCCUGCAAGGAAGAUCAAAUUGUAAAUCCCCAGCUAGCAAAGCAUUGUGGGACUUGUAUG